AUUGAACGCUGGCGGCAGGCCUAACACAUGCAAGUCGAGCGGAUGAAGGGAGCUUGCUCCUGGAUUCAGCGGCGGACGGGUGAGUAAUGCCUAGGAAUCUGCCUGGUAGUGGGGGAUAACGUCCGGAAACGGGCGCUAAUACCGCAUACGUCCUGAGGGAGAAAGUGGGGGAUCUUCGGACCUCACGCUAUCAGAUGAGCCUAGGUCGGAUUAGCUAGUUGGUGGGGUAAAGGCCUACCAAGGCGACGAUCCGUAACUGGUCUGAGAGGAUGAUCAGUCACACUGGAACUGAGACACGGUCCAGACUCCUACGGGAGGCAGCAGUGGGGAAUAUUGGACAAUGGGCGAAAGCCUGAUCCGGCCAUGCCGCGUGUGUGAAGAAGGUCUUCGGGUUGUAAAGCACUUUAAGUUGGGAGGAAGGGCAGUAAGUUAAUACCUUGCUGUUUUGACGUUACCAACAGAAUAAGCACCGGCUAACUUCGUG
rnacentral:rRNA from 1 species